rnacentral:rRNA from 1 species
AACGAACGCUGGCGGCAUGCCUAAUACAUGCAAGUCGAACGAGAUCUUCGGAUCUAGUGGCGCACGGGUGCGUAACGCGGGGGAAUCUGCCCUUGGGUUCGGAAUAACUUCUGGAAACGGAAGCUAAUACCGGAUGAUGACGUACGUCCAAAGAUUUAUCGCCCAAGGAUGAGCCCGCGUAGGAUUAGGUAGUUGGUGAGGUAAAGGCUCACCAAGCCGACGAUCCUUAGCUGGUCUGAGAGGAUGAUCAGCCACACUGGGACUGAGACACGGCCCAGACUCCUACGGGAGGCAGCAGUAGGGAAUAUUGGACGAUGGGCGAAAGCCUGAUCCAGCAAUGCCGCGUGAGUGAUGAAGGCCUUAGGGUUGUAAAGCUCUUUUACCCGGGAUGAUAAUGACAGUACCGGGAGAAUAAGCUCCGGCUAACUCCGUG